rnacentral:rRNA from 1 species
AUUAGAUACCCGCGUAGUCCAGGGUGUAAACGCUGCAGACUUGGUGUUGGGAACCCUUCGGGGGUGCUCAGUGCCGGAGAGAAGUUGUUAAGUCUGCUACUUGGGGAGUACGUCCGCAAGGAUGAAACUUAAAGGAAUUGGCGGGGGAGCACCGCAACGGGAGGAGCGUGCGGUUUAAUUGGAUUCAACGCCGAAAAACUCACCAGCAGCGACUGUUACAUGAAAGUCAGGUUGAUGACCUUACUAGAUUUUCAGAGAGGUGGUGCAUGGC